rnacentral:rRNA from 1 species
GACGAACGCUGGCGGCGGGCUUAACACAUGCAAGUCGAACGGCAAGGCACUGCUUUUGUGCGGUGACCGAGUGGCGAACGGGUAAGUAACACGUGUGUAACCUGCUCUAGACUUUGGGAGAACUUCAGGUAACGGGGGUUACUACCAUAUAGGAGCUCCCCCUGCAUGGAGGGGGGUGGAACGUUUCGGCGGUUGUGGAUGGAUGCGCGGGUGAUCAGCUAGUUGGUGGGGGAGUGGUAUACCAAGGCUUUGACGGGUCGGCGGCCUGUGUGGGGGGCCGGCGACAAUAGGACUACGGUACGGACCAGACUCCAACGGUGGACAGCAGGGGGGAAUAUGGCACAAUGGGCGGAAGCCUGAUGCAGCAACGCCGCGUGCGGAAUGACGGUCUUUUGGUUGUGAAACGCUUUCGGCUGAGACGACGCUUGAGUGACGGUAACGAGUAAAGAAGCACCGGCUAACUACGUG